GCCCGGUUAGUACUUGGAUGGGAGACCUCCUGGGAAUACCGGGU
rnacentral:rRNA from 1 species